GGUGCGUAACGCGUAUGCAAUCUACCUUUUACAGAGGGAUAGCCCAGAGAAAUUUGGAUUAAUACCUCAUAGUAUAAUUGAAUGGCAUCAUUUAAUUAUUAAAGUCACAACGGUAAAAGAUGAGCAUGCGUCCCAUUAGCUAGUUGGUAAGGUAACGGCUUACCAAGGCUACGAUGGGUAGGGGUCCUGAGAGGGAGAUCCCCCACACUGGUACUGAGACACGGACCAGACUCCUACGGGAGGCAGCAGUGAGGAAUAUUGGACAAUGGGCGCAAGCCUGAUCCAGCCAUGCCGCGUGCAGGAUGACGGUCCUAUGGAUUGUAAACUGCUUUUGUACAGGAAGAAACACUGGUUCGUGAACCAGCUUGACGGUACUGUAAGAAUAAGGAUCGGCUAACUCCGUGCCAGCAGCCGCGGUAAUACGGAGGAUCCAAGCGUUAUCCGGAAUCAUUGGGUUUAAAGGGUCCGUAGGCGGUUUGGUAAGUCAGUGGUGAAAGCCCAUCGCUCAACGGUGGAACGGCCAUUGAUACUGCUAGACUUGAAUUAUUAGGAAGUAACUAGAAUAUGUAGUGUAGCGGUGAAAUGCUUAGAGAUUACAUGGAAUACCAAUUGCGAAGGCAGGUUACUACUAAUAUAUUGACGCUGAUGGACGAAAGCGUGGGUAGCGAACAGGAUUAGAUACCCUGGUAGUCCACGCCGUAAACGAUGGAUACUAGCUGUUGGGCGCAAGUUCAGUGGCUAAGCGAAAGUGAUAAGUAUCCCACCUGGGGAGUACGUUC
rnacentral:rRNA from 1 species